UACGUAGGGUGCGAGCGUUAAUCGGAAUUACUGGGCGUAAAGCGUGCGCAGGCGGUUUUGUAAGUCAGAUGUGAAAUCCCCGGGCUCAACCUGGGAACUGCGUUUGAAACUACAAGGCUAGAGUGUGGCAGAGGGUGGUGGAAUUCCACGUGUAGCAGUGAAAUGCGUAGAGAUGUGGAGGAACACCGAUGGCGAAGGCAGCCCCCUGGGUUAACACUGACGCUCAGGCACGAAAGCGUGGGGAGCAAACAGG
rnacentral:rRNA from 1 species